rnacentral:rRNA from 1 species
GACGAUGGCGGCGUGCUUAACACAUGCAAGUCACGGGGGCAAGGGUAACCGGCGAACGGGUGCGUAACACGUGAACAAUCUGCCUAGAUGUGGGGGAUAGCCGGCCCAACGGCCGGGUAAUACCGCAUACGCUCUUCGGGUGGCAUCACUUGAAGAGGAAACCUCCGGGGCAUCUAGAGGAGUUCGCGGCCUAUCAGCUAGUUGGUGGGGUAACGGCCUACCAAGGCAAUGACGGGUAGCUGGUCUGAGAGGAUGGCCAGCCACAUUGGGACUGAGAUACGGCCCAGACUCCUACGGGAGGCAGCAGUGGGGAAUAUUGCGCAAUGGCCGAAAGGCUGACGCAGCGACGCCGCGUGGGGGAUGAAGCAUUUCGGUGUGUAAACCCCUGUUGCCCGGGACGAACAAGCGAUUUUGAUCGCUCUGACGGUACCGGGUGAGGAAGCACCGGCUAACUCCGUGCCAGCAGCCGCGGUAAUACGGAGGGUGCGAGCGUUGUCCGGAAUCACUGGGCGUAAAGGGCGCGUAGGCGGUCUGCCAAGCGUGUGGUGAAAGCUCGGGGCUCAACCCCGAGUCUGCCAUGCGAACUGGUGGACUAGAGCACUGUAGAGGCAGGUGGAAUUCCGGGUGUAGCGGUGGAAUGCGUAGAGAUCCGGAAGAACACCAGUGGCGAAGGCGGCCUGCUGGGCAGUAGCUGACGCUGAGGCGCGAUAGCGUGGGGAGCAAACAGGAUUAGAUACCCUGGUAGUCCACGCCGUAAACGAUGGGGACUAGGUGCUUGGGGGAGCGACCCCUCGAGUGCCGGCGCUAACGCAUUAAGUCCCCCGCCUGGGGAGUAUGCAUCUG